UAUAGUAAGACUCUGAACCAUUAUCCAAUUUCUUAAGCAAUGUGGGACUUUUUACAUUUAUUUUGUUUUCUUUAUAGAUUGAGUAAUAUAUGUAUAUUUUA
rnacentral:sRNA from 1 species